UGUUGACAUUCAAAGAUUCUAUUACAUCUCUCCUUCCACAUCCACCAAAUAGCGCAUCUGAAAGUAACCUUUGCCAGUUGUGUAAGUGGCCCUUUUCUUGAGAAACAUUGCAUAAGGUCGCCUAGUUCUUGGUGCAAGUUUGGUUGCGGCAGUCUAUUGAGUUUAAAUCGCUGGAGAAUCUCCUUCCAUAUCUAUUUUGUAUAAUUACAAGCAAAAUAGAGGUGGUCAACAGUUUCUUCUUGUUGCAAACAAAGGGAGCAUCGGUUAACAUGAUAGAUACCUCUUCUUUUCAUAUUGUCUAUUGUAGGUAGUUUAUU
rnacentral:lncRNA from 1 species